rnacentral:lncRNA from 1 species
UCAAGAGUUGGCACGUGAACUUCUGCAUAGACAUGGAUCUCCUACAGUAGUGCAAUGCACGGAAUCCUCAGCUUUGCCACCACAGACCAAGUGACCAGAGACUUUGAGAACUGACCUAUAUUAAAAAGAAAUGAGGGUUUAUAUUUUAAUUAAUCAAAAAUAGGUAAAGUCAUUUCCAUAACUACUCAAUAUCCUUUAAUUUUACCCUAUUUGUAAUUUCUUGAUAAUCCUUCCCUUUUUGUUUGCUGUACUUUUUUGGAAUACUAAUUACAUUCAAUAUUAGUUAGUCUUAGAUAAUGCUUACUUUUAAAUUACUCCGUGUGUGGUAUAGCUACUACAUAGUUGAUAACCGUAUCAUUAAAUCAGAGGGCAAAAUAUUUAUUUUUUGGAUCUUUAUUAAAUUUUACUAUGACCAGACUUGGAGAACUGACCUUAUGUUAAAAAGAAAUGAGGGUUUUAAUUUUAAUUAAUCAAAAUAGGCAAAGUCAUUUGCAUGACUACUCAAUAUCCUUUAAUUUUACCCUAUUUGUAAUUUCUUGAUGAUCCUUCCCUUUUUGUUUGAUGUACUUUUUUGGAAUACUAAUU